GACUGAUACCCAAUCAUGGCUGCAAGCACAGCAGCUUUGAGUAGGAGGGCAUGGUGGUUGCAGUGCAGCCCACACGCGAGAAAGGGUGAAGGAACUUCCAGUGCAGAUCUUGGUGGUAGUAGCAAUUUUUCAAAUGAGAGUUUUUGAAGACCGAAGAGGAGAAGGGCCCCAUGUGAACAGAAUUUGGACAUGGGUUAGUCGAUCCUAAGAGUCUGG
rnacentral:rRNA from 1 species